rnacentral:rRNA from 1 species
GUAGUUAGCCGGGGCUUUCUAAUGGGGUACCGUCAUUUUUUCGUCCCCCACAACAGAGGUUUACAAUCCGAAAACCUUCUUCCCUCACGCGGCGUUGCUGGGUCAGGCUUGCGCCCAUUGCCCAAUAUUCCCCACUGCUGCCUCCCGUAGGAGUCUGGACCGUGUCUCAGUUCCAGUGUGGCCGAUCAGCCUCUCAGCUCGGCUACCCAUCGCAGGCUUGGUGGGCUGUUAUCUCACCAACUACCUAAUGGGACGCGAACCCCUCCUUCAGCGGAUUGCUCCUUUGACCUCAUCCCGAUGCCGGGUCGUGGUCUUAUGCGGUAUUAGCACUUGUUUCCAGGUGUUAUCCCCCUCUGAAGGUCAGGUUGUUCACGCGUUACUCACCCGUUCGCCACUAAAAUUUAUCUUCCAUCCGAAAACUUCCGAUAAAUCUCCGUUCGACUUGCAUGUGUUAGGCACGCCACCAGCGUUCGUCCUGACGACCAUAACUACUAAACUCUACGA